UACGUAGGGGGCAAGCGUUGUUCGGAAUUACUGGGCGUAAAGGCGCGUAGGCGGCAUGGCAAGUCAGGAGUGAAAGGCCUGGGCUCAACCGAGGAACUGCUUUGAUACUGCCAAGCUAGAGUGCGGAAGGGGCAACUGGAAUUCCCAGUGUAGCGGUGAAAUGCGUAGAUAUUGGGAAGAACACCUGAGGCGAAGGCGGGUUGCUGGGCCGACACUGACGCUGAGGCGCGAAAGCCAGGGAGCAAAGCGGG
rnacentral:rRNA from 1 species